UCUCCUUUCGUUUUAAUGCCCUUGUGAUGUAAGAUAAUUGGUCAUGAGAAAAGGCUGGUGGAGGAUGCAGGUACUUCCUUUCCAGCAGCCAAAUGUGGCAGUGUGCUGGGAAACCUUUGUGAAGCCCUUCAGCCCUGUCAGAAAGUAAAGAAGUCUGUGGAACUGAAGCAUAACAGAGAAAGACAGGAUAAGCUGAGAAGAACCAACUGAAAGGAAAAUCUUCCGGUGUGUGGCUAUCAGAGCAAAAGGCAAAAAGAGCCUUUACAAAUUUUCCAGAUAGUCCUGGCCUCUACAAGAAUCUGGAUAGGGAAUAGAAACCUUAUUGUUUAAUACCGGUGACCAGUCACACAGCGUAUUUGAAUGCUGAACAAAAAUGCUUGGAGAUAUUGGUACCAUUCAGUAACCCACAGGCAAAAAAAAUAUUUUUUUUGAACCUCUUCACCACAUGGCUAUAGGAAAAGACUGUCAAACAUGUUACCCAUUUGUGGUUAGCAGUAUCAAGUACAACAAAUUAAACUUACUGAAUACUUCAGUUACUGUACUUGGCAGUGAAUUUGCUUUAACUCCAAGACAGCAUUACAAAUGAAAUCCUUAGAAGAGAUGUGAACAAAUUGUGCAAUACUGGACUUUUUGUUCCUCAGGCCAUAGUCUUGCUCCCAGUCCCAGAUUCACUGUGCCUUCACUUGUGUCAUCAAGAGAUGCAUGCUAUUAAGAAAACAGAAAAUAUGAGCAGUUCCUAACUACAGAAGGCAGCAACAUCAGCUAAGAUAUUUGAGAUGAGACCACCAUGAGACAACUGCAGUUCCAGCAGGACUUGGCUCAAGGAUCAUGUGGGAAGCCUUUCCUCUGCCAGACCAGUGAUGAAAAAGAGACAGGGGGUGAGGGGGACACAAGUUCCAAGUUGUGACUCACCCUUCGUGUUGGCUGAAGAGCCUGCAGACAGAAUUAGGAGGGAAGAGACCACUGAGGCUGGGCUCUGCAACCUCACUUUACCCUGUCCCCACUUGGACACUUGGAUGACCUGUGCUUUGUUUCCCUUUCUGAAGUAUGACUUUUCGUACAGCAUUUGCCAUCAUUAAUUGGAGCAUCUCCCUCCUGCAUCCUAAUCAAACAGUGCUGGCAAAGAAGAAUCAGUAUUAAAAGCAAUGUCUGACGUGCUGGCCAAUUCAAGCCAUGAAUUGCUUGCCUCGGGCCUGGCAGAUAGGGGUCUCCGUUUAAUUUUAUUCAGAAUAAAAUUAUUAACAGCAAUGAAGCAUGUGUAGACCAUCCAGAAAAUGAAAGUGCCCCUGUUCCUGAGAUAGAGCCUAACUCUCAGUUUCUAUUUUUCCCUCAAAUACAUUUAAAACAUUGACACUUUCUCCCAUGGGAGGAAAAUACCACCAGGUAGAUAGCAGCUAGCGCAUCAAAAUUGGUGCUACACCAAAAAUCAAGAAGAGGUGAAAAACAGUUGAGAAACAGUUCAAAGUCAAAACUGUGCACAUCUAGAGGUGUUCCACAUCUUAGCAAGUAUAUCUUUCAGUCAGGGAGUUCCUACCUCAGGGCACAGGUACUCUGUGCCAGACCCAAAUGUCCUGCAAUAGGAGACAGCAGGAAGUGGGAUUUUGGCCAAACCAACAGUGGAAAUACAUGUCAGCCACAAAGUGGCUUCCAAGUCUGGGUUGUAAUGUUCCCCAAAUGUAGUACAGAAAUGAGACUUUGCUACAAAAAUAAUGCUGUUGGGGGCCUGGACUGCUUUAUCCAGAAUUGCCAGGUACCUGCACGCACAGAGUGAACUUCACUAGAAUGUAAUUCCAACAAGGGGUCUGCUUUUCACCCUGUUUCCUGACCCCUAGAGAAACAACUGCGGAAAGCAGGAGCCUUUGCAGCAAGCCUGACCCUGUGUCGCAGGAGCUGGAGCCACCUGUGCGUGUGUGUCACGGUGGCCGUGUCCAAGGCAAACAGCUCGCUUCCCGGAGU